AACGCACAUUGCGCCUCUCCUCUAAAGAGAGGCAUGCCUGUCUGAGCGUCAUUUAAACCAUGGACCCGACCUUGGGUUCCGUGAUGGGUCUCGCCCUCCUCGGGCGUCUCCUCAAAGUCAUUGGUCUACACAAGCGGACGAAAUCCUUCAGGACUGACCGUUUGUCGGACUUUAAUAUCUCCAGAGUUGACCUCAGAUCAGGUAGGACUACCGCCUGAACUUAA
rnacentral:misc_RNA from 1 species